rnacentral:rRNA from 1 species
AUGGCGCUUGCUCCCCGGUCGUCUCUGCGCUCCCUGUUGCUGCUCAUGUCCCACGGGAAGCCACAGCUGAGCUCUUUCUCCUCCUCCGUCGCCCGCACGGGCGUUCCGCCGGUCGCCCCGGGAGCUGAUACCCCUCCGGCUGCUCCGGCCGUCCAGCCCCCAGUCACCACAGCUCGGUCAGAUCGUUCAUGCCCGAAGCUCCCUGGGGGUCCACGUACAUAUGAGGAAGAGACCGUUCUUCAGCCACUUCAUGGAGUAACUGACAAGGCUUGUCUGAACGCCCCUCAAGAUCCUAGCGCAUACCCAACUCCUGAUCAUGGGUCAUGUCGCACACCUGAACCUGUACCCGUCGAGCCUCCCAGUGCCAUCCCCGAAUCUCCUAUGCAUCCCGAAGUUCCUAUACACAAAGUUCGUGAUCCACCACCUAGGACGCGUCGCGGCGCUGUAACCAAUGGUUCACGUGGCACACCUGAAACUGUACCUGUCAAGCCUCCCCGGGACAUCUCUGAAGGUCCUGGACACGAAAUUCCUAGACACCCUAUUCAUGAUCCACCACCUAGGACGCAUCGCGGCGCUGUAACCAAUGGUUCCUGUGGCACACCUGAACCUGCACCUGUACAUGUACCUGUCAAGCCUCCCAGGGGGAUCUCCGAAGAUGUUAAACACAAAGUUGGUGAUCCACCACGUAGGCCUAAAGCUGUAACCGAGCAGCCUGCACAGUGCUCUCCGGCUGCUCCUGCCGUUUAG